ACUGAUCUAUCUCUGUACAGUAACUCACACGGACAUAACAGUUAUCAUGCAAUUCUUUAUACAAUUCUCGUGCAUUUCCUUUUUUUCCAGGCUGUCUUGGGGGUGAUAAGUCUCUCCCAUGAACAGUGUAUACAAACAACCUCUUGGAGCCUUUGUGUAGUCCAUGACAUGCACAGCGAGGCAGGGAAUGAACAACGAAAUGUCAAAUGUAAGUAAAUAAUGAGGUGCAGGGAAAAGGGGUGAGGAGGGAGAACCAUGGAGGAGAACACACACACACACACACACACACACACACACGUGGAGGACACCGCCGCGUAUAUACACAAACAGCGUGUAUACAAAGCAAGUCUUGGAAUGCGUGUCCUUCGCCUUGCUGUCACGCACCACUAUCAUCAACGCGAGCUGGGCUGGCUAUACUACACAUUGCCGGGGAAAGACAGGGAAGCAACACACACACACACACACACACACACACACACACACACACAAGGCUACACGUUACUAUUUUUGUCUGUCUGUAUGUCUGCUUGUAUCUCUUAUCUUUAUGUCGCUCUUCUAUCUUCUGUCUGUCUGUCUACCUGUCUUUUUUUUCUCUCUGAGACACACACACACACACACACACACGGCUACACGUCACUGGUAAUUCCAUGAGGAGGAGCAGAAAAGGGGGGAGAGGGAGGAGGGGACGAAGAGAGGAGAGGGAGGAGGAGGGAGAAGAGGAAGGAGGGGAGGAAGAGGGAGAACGCUGAGGGUGGUGGGAGGAGGAGGAGGAGGAGGAGUCAGAGUGCCUAAUAGUGAGUCACGAGAGAGAGAGAGAGAGAGAGAGAGAGAGAGAGAGAGAGAGAGAGAGAGAGAGAGUAAAUAAAGAACUCCACUUAUCACCCGUCACCUGACACACUGAUAACCACCACGUCACUUCUCAGGGAUUAAAAGAAAGAAAAAUAAACCCUGGCUACCACCCACCGUCCCACUUAAACCCCCACCUAGCCUAACCUAACCUAGCCUCUCCCCCUUUGUAAAUACCCUAUCUAACGCUACAAACAAAAACUAGUCUAGCCUAUAAUUUUGUUGUCCAUUGUUUUCAGCUAUAAUAACAGAUACAGCUUCUCCAUUUCCCACUAGCCUUGUCAAAUCAAAACCACUAACCACUCACAUCUACCUAUGAAUAAUGAACAGAAAAGGAGGUUAUUAUAUUAGCUCAGGAAGGUGACGAAGAAUGAAAUAGACCAGGAUUAUGUGGAAGAAUAUUAACCUAGGCAAGCAUGUGAAAGAAUUAGACAAUGCUAUUAAGGAGAGGGGAAGUUCCAUACCUAUAGCCUAGCAUAACCUAAAUGAACCCUUUCUCCCUCCUCUUGUCAAUAUGUAGACUAGUAACACCCACAGUGAAGCAAAAUCAAGUCUAGCCUAAUAUUUUGUAGUAGUCCAUUGUUUUCGUGCAUGAUAUCACAUGGAACCAUAUUCUUAAACAUUUCAGAGUCCAAGUACACACAUUCGACAAGACUUUCAUAGGUGUUCUGAGCAUAUCUAUGUGUAGUUUUAUGAACCACGUGGUAGUCUGACCCUUCUUCUGUACCAUGAACCUAAAAGAACACUCAUUUGGACCCAAGUGAUCUUUUUUGGCCUUUGGAAAUAGUUGAUGUGUGAAGCGGAAGCGUCUCAGAAUACCGACGAUAGACCUUCCCCUCUCCCUAAUAGCAUUGUCUAAUUCUUGCACAUACUUGUCUAGGUUAAUAUUCUUCCUCAUAAUCCUGGUCUGUUUCACCCUUCCUCAAUUUCCUGAGCUAAUAACUCAUCCCCAGCGUACUCCUUUUCUGUUCGUUAUUCAGUGCCUAAUAAAUCGCCCUUCACCAGACUAUCUAAACCAACCAAAUCAUCUGCUCUACAAGCCUUGCCUAUUACCCUCUCUUCCAUCACUCCUAGCCUAGCACCACCCGUCAAAUUAUGCCUACCAUUUCCUUGGCUAGCCGGUACAUAACACCUUUCCCUUGCAACUUCCCUAUCCUGACAAAGCCAAAAUCGUUCACCUUCUAUAGCCAAUCAGCCAUAUUUCUGCCAGUCAUUUUUAGGUUAACAAGUACAUAACAUCAUUUCCCAACAACAUUUAUACCCUAGCAAAGCCUAAAUCGUUCACCUUAUGUAGCCAAUCAGCCAUAUUUCUGCCAGUCACUUUUAGGUUAACAAGUACAUAACAUCAUUUCCCAACAACAUUUAUACCCUAGCAAAGCCUAAAUCGUUCACCUUAUAUAGCCAAUCAACCAUAUUUCUGCCAGUCACUUUUAGGUUAACAAAUGCCAGUCACUUUUAGGUUAACAAGUACAUAACAUCAUUUCCCAACAACAUUUAUACCCUAGCAAAGCCUAAAUCGUUCACCUUAUAUAGCCAAUCAGCCAUAUUUCUGCCAGUCACUUUUAGGUUAACAAGUACAUAACACCAUUCCCAAACAACAUUUACAACCUAGCAAAGCCUAAAUCGUCCACCUCAAGUCAGUCAGUCAGCCAGUCAGUUCAGCGCCCACUCAGCCACCCACCCGCCCCAACCUUCUUCGCCUUGCCUCACCCCGCCGCCCUCCUUCACCAGCAGGCUCCCCCGUCACCCAACUCGUCCUAUCACAUUCCAACACUUUCAAGGCCGCCCUGACAUACACUGCAAAAUAUUUAUUCACGAGAGAUAAAACAUAGCAUUCAUCCCGAGGCCAGCCAAGCACACACACACACACACACACACACACACACACACACACACACACACACACACAGGACGGUGAGUGUC